AAUGAACGCUGGCGGCGUGCUUAACACAUGCAAGUCGUACGAGAACUCUUUAGCUUGCUAAAGAUAGUAAAGUGGCGUACGGGUGAGUAAUACGUGGGUAAUCUACCUCCGAAUUGGGGAUAACAUUGCGAAAGCGAUGCUAAUACCGGAUAAUAUCUUUAGAGCGCUGGCUUUAAAGAUCAAAGGUGGUCACUACAUGUAAACUACUGUUUGGAGAUGAGCCCGCGUACCAUUAGCUUGUUGGUAGGGUAAUGGCCUACCAAGGCUUCGAUGGUUAGCUGGUCUGAGAGGAUGAUCAGCCACACUGGAACUGACACACGGUCCAGACUCCUACGGGAGGCUG
rnacentral:rRNA from 1 species